GAUGGUCUUAGAGAUUUCAGGAACCCUGUUUUACUCUACAUGUUCUGCCCUGACAUGAAAAAAAGAUGAUUCUUAUUGUGGGCUUUAGCCUUUUGUUUUUCUACAAAGGCAUGCUGUGUAAUCAGGUGACCCAGAAUUCUGAAGACCAGACGGUGUUAAGUGGCAGUGAGCUAAUGUUGCCCUGCACUUAUGAUGUUAGCUUCUCAAAUCCAGAUUUGUACUGGUACCGAAAAAGGUCAGAGGGGUCCUUUCAGUUUAUCCUUUAUAAGGAUAACACCAGAUCUAAAUAUGCAGAUUUUGCUCAAGGCCGAUUUUCUGUGAAGCACAAUCCGACCCAGAAAACCUUCCACCUGGUGAUAUCCCAAGUGAGGCUGGAAGACAGUGCCACUUACUAUUGUGCUGUGGAUCCCACGGUGAUGCAGGAAGGCAAAACCGGAGAAGCAAAUGGAGCAUCCUUGAGAAGUGUGGUCAGUGUCCCAACAGAGAAGCUAAGCAUCAAUUUCAUCAAUUUCCUUUUUCCCUAAGACUCCCAAAGGCACAGCCUCAAGAUUUGAUUCUAACACUGCAGAUAAUUCUGAAUUUCAAGUGGAUAUGAUUUAAAGGGAAAAUGAAACACAAUACUUUUUUGCUCAGAUGCAAUUUGCCAAACAUCAAUCAGACUGCAAUCAGCUACAACCUGAUUCUGUUUCCCUCCUUCUUUUCAUUGUUCUAAUCUCUCUCCCCUCAAAGUUAAGAAAACUCACCAAAUUCU